AGAAGUAAUGCACAGCAUGGUGACUAUUCUUAAUAAUACUGUAUUGUAUACUUGAAAUUUGCAAAGAGUAGAUCUCAAGUGUUGUUGCCACA